rnacentral:rRNA from 1 species
UACGGAGGGGGCUAGCGUUGUUCGGAAUGACUGGGCGUAAAGCGCGCGUAGGCGGAUCGUCAAGUCGGGGGUGAAAUCCCGGGGCUCAACCCCGGAAUGGCCUUCGAGACUGGCGGCCUUGAGUUCGAGAGAGGUGGGUGGAAUUCCGAGUGUAGAGGUGAAAUUCGUAGAUAUUCGGAGGAACACCAGUGGCGAAGGCGGCCCACUGGCUCGACACUGACGCUGAGGCGCGAAAGCGUGGGGAGCAAACAGG